AUGAAUAUUGUCACGGGUGCCAUGGGCAGCAUGCUCCCCAAGCUGGGACAGCUGCUCAUGGAUGAGUAUAACCUGCACAAGCGCGUCAAGAAAGAUGUCGAGUUCCUUAGGAAGGAACUUGAGAGCAUGCACGCUGCCCUCAUCAAAGUUGGCGAGGUGUCGCGGGACCUGCUCGACAGGCAAGUCAAGCUCUGGGCCGACGAGGUCAGAGAGCUCUCCUACAACUUGGAGGAUGUCGUCGACAAGUUCCUUGUACACGUCGACAUUGACAGCAUUCAGCAGCCUCACGACAACUCCGGCAGAUUCAAGGAGCUCAAGAACAAGAUGAUCGGCUUGUUCAAGAAAGGCAGGAAUAACCAUCGCAUAGCUGACGCCAUCAAGGAAAUCAAGGAGCAACUCCAGGAGGUGUCUGCUAGGCGUGACAGGAACAAGGUAGUUGUUCCUAAUCCUACGGAACCAAUUAUUAUUGAUCCUUGUCUUCGAGCUUUGUAUGCAGAAGCGGCAGAGCUAGUUGGCAUAUAUGGGAAGAGGGAUCAGGAGCUCAUGAGGUUGCUCUCCAUGGAGGGAGAUGAUGCCUCUAACAAGAGACUGAAGAAGGUCUCCAUUGUUGGAUUUGGAGGGUUGGGCAAGACCACUCUUGCUAGAGCAGUAUACGACAAGAUUAAAGGUGAUUUCCAUUGUCGGGCAUUUGUUCCGGUCGGUCAGAACCCUGACAUGAAGAAGGUUUUAAGGGAUAUCCUCAUUGAUCUCGGCAACGCUCACUCAGAUCUUGCGACGCUGGAUGCCAAUCAGCUUAUUAAAAAGCUUCGUGAAUUCCUAGAGAAUAAAAGGUAUCUUGUUAUAAUCGAUGAUAUAUGGGAUGAAAAAUUGUGGGAAGGCAUCAACUUUGCUUUCUCUAGCAGGAAUAAUCUAGGCAGUCGGCUAAUCACCACAACCCGCAUUGUCAGUGUCUCUAAUUCAUGUUGCUCGUAG
rnacentral:rRNA from 1 species